AGCUUUGUGCACUGGCAGUAACAUAGCCAAUGAGGUUUAUCCAAGGCACGAUUAUUGCUAAUUGAAAACUAUUUUCUCUAUCCUAGAAUACUUAGUGUAAAAUAGGGUCCAAGUUCCUAGAAAUAUGGUGAAACUUUCUCAUCUGAGA
ensembl:snRNA U4 U4 spliceosomal RNA